UGAUGAAGUUCGACCCAGAAAGAGAACAAAGAUAUGACCUGUCUGCAUUUCAAAGUGUUGAUGUUGAAAACUUCCGAGUCUGGACUAAAAGAUCAUUAAGUGAGUCAUUUUCCUCUAGAAAGAGAUUAUAAUCUGGGUGCUCCAAGUGAUCGUUUUUGUAUAUUUAGCAUCUCCUUAUUUUGAGAUAUUUCUAUUUUUGAAUGCCUCUUGGCGAGACACCUCAAGACGACUUCCUCUUGAUUAUUUUGAUGCCAUAAUAAUGACCUUGUGUUGUAGUAUUAA